UACGUAGGGGGCAAGCGUUGUCCGGAAUCAUUGGGCGUAAAGAGCGUGUAGGCGGCUCGAUAAGUCUGCUGUGAAAGUCCAGGGCUCAACCCUGGAAGGCCGGUGGAAACUGUCGGGCUAGAGUCCGGAAGAGGCGAGUGGAAUUCCCGGUGUAGCGGUGAAAUGCGCAGAUAUCGGGAGGAACACCAAUGGCGAAGGCAGCUCGCUGGGACGGUACUGACGCUGAGGAGCGAAAGCCAGGGGAGCAAACGGG
rnacentral:rRNA from 1 species